GAUGAACGCUGGCGGCGUGCCUAAUACAUGCAAGUCGAGCGAACGGACGAGAAGCUUGCUUUUCUGAUGUUAGCGGCGGACGGGUGAGUAACACGUGGAUAACCUACCUAUAAGACUGGGAUAACUUCGGGAAAACGGAGCUAAUACCGGAUAAUAUUUUGAACCGCAUGGUUCAAAAGUGAAAGACGGUCUUGAUGUCACUUAUAGAUGGAUCCGCGCUGCAUUAGCUAGUUGGUAAGGUAACGGCUUACCAAGGCAACGAUGCAUAGCCGACCUGAGAGGGUGAUCGGCCACACUGGAACUGAGACACGGUCCAGACUCCUACGGGAGGCAGCAGUAGGGAAGCUUCCGCAAUGGGCGAAAGCCUGACGGAGCAACGCCGCGUGAGUGAUGAAGGUCUUCGGAUCUUAAAACUCUGUUAUUAGGGAAGAACAUAUGUGUAAGUAACUGUGCACAUCUUGACGGUACCUAAUCAGAAAGCCACGGCUAACUACGUG
rnacentral:rRNA from 1 species